GGGGCUGUGGCUCAGUGGUAGAGCGCUUGCCUGGCAUGUAUGGGGCACUAGGUUUGAGCCUCAGCACCA
rnacentral:tRNA from 1 species